rnacentral:misc_RNA from 1 species
GAUGAAGAACGUAGCGAAAUGCGAUAAGUAAUGCGAAUUGCAGAAUUUCCGUGAGUCAUCGAAUCUUUGAACGCACAUUGCGCCCCUUGGUAUUCCAUGGGGCAUGCCUGUUCGAGCGUCAUUUGUACCUUCAAGCUCUGCUUGGUGUUGGGUGUUUGUCUCGCCUCUGCGUGUAGACUCGCCUCAAAAUAAUUGGCAGCCGGCGUAUUGAUUUCGGAGCGCAGUACAUCUCGCGCUUUGCACUCAUAACGACGACGUCCAAAAGUACAUUUUUACACUCUUGACCUCGGAUCAGGUAGGGAUACCCGCUGAACUUAAGCAUAUCAAUAAGCGGAGGA